GAUGAACGCUGGCGGCGUGCUUAACACAUGCAAGUCGAACGGUGAACCCGGAGCUUGCUCUGUGGGAUCAGUGGCGAACGGGUGAGUAACACGUGAGCAACCUGCCCCUGACUCUGGGAUAAGCGCUGGAAACGGCGUCUAAUACUGGAUAUGUGACGUGACCGCAUGGUCUGCGUUUGGAAAGAUUUUUCGGUUGGGGAUGGGCUCGCGGCCUAUCAGCUUGUUGGUGAGGUAAUGGCUCACCAAGGCGUCGACGGGUAGCCGGCCUGAGAGGGUGACCGGCCACACUGGGAUUGAGACACGGCCCAGACUCCUACGGGAGGCAGCAGUGGGGAAUAUUGCACAAUGGGCGAAAGCCUGAUGCAGCAACGCCGCGUGAGGGAUGACGGCCUUCGGGUUGUAAACCUUUUUUAGCAGGGAAGAAGCGAAAGUGACGGUACCUGCAGAAAAAGCGCCGGCUAACUACGU
rnacentral:rRNA from 1 species